UACGUAGGGUGCGAGCGUUGCCCGGAUUUAUUGGGCGUAAAGAGCGUGUAGGCGGCCUGCAAGGUCAGCUGUGAAAACUCGGGGCUCAACCCCGAGACGUCGGUUGAAACCAUCUGGCUAGAGUCCGGAAGAGGAGUGUGGAAUUCCCGGUGUAGCGGUGAAAUGCGCAGAUAUCGGGAAGAACACCCGUGGCGAAGGCGGCCUUCUGGACCAAUACUGACGCUCAGGCACGAAAGCGUGGGGAGCAAACAGG
rnacentral:rRNA from 1 species